GAGUGUAGUUUGGUUUGAAAAUGACGUUUCACAUAUGUGGCGUGCGUGUCUAUGAGAGGUGUCUAUGGACGCGGAUUAUUUACUUGUGUUUGGAUACUCUAAUUUGCUAGUAAAUCUCCCUUUCUCAUUUACCAACAAAAAGCUGAGUUUUCAUUUACUAGUAAAUCAGGAGAUGGAAACGGCUCUAUUUUAUCGAAUGAAAGCCUAUAAAGCAGAUUUCAUUUACCAUUUACAGGCUAUCCAAACAUUGUAAAUGAUUUACUAGUAAAGCCAAACAGACAAGCUGUAAAUUAUUUACAACCUGUUAAGUGAAUGUAAACCAUUUAUCACCAUCCAAAUAACUCCUUAAGAAUACUGUGUGAUCAUGGAUACGACUGGGUUGUGAUCGGGCUAGACAUGUUACAGGCUGUGUUGGAGAACACCGGAGUCAGUCCACUAGAAAUUGGCGAUGUAGUUGUUGGAAAUGUUCUUGCUAUGGGCAAUAUUAGAGCAGCAGAGUGCCGCCUAACAGCCUUCUUUGCUGGUUUUCCAGGUUAAUGAUAUUUGGAUUGUUAUAGAAUAAAAGGAGGUAGAUAUGAUGCUCAAUCAAAAGCAAUGAUGUCCUUCUAUAUUCAUCCUAGAAAUGGUAUAGGUGAGGCCCAUCUUUUGGUAAUCUAAGCCUUUCAUGUGGCUGGCUAAUGGCGAAGCCCCAACCACAAAUAUUCCCUUUUAGAUGAUCAUGGCCAUCUGAUGGUGACUUGCAAAUCAAUGAUUACAGCAAAUGAUCCACUUGUAAGUACAUGUAGGGUCAUCUGAUGUGGAAGAUUUUUGGGGUACCUUGUAUACCCCAUCCACAACAUGACAUAUCGUGUGAACAACUUGGGUCACCAGAAGGUCUGCUGUCUAUGUAAUUCAUUGGCUGAGUAAGGUGCUUGAUUGAACAUUGCAAAAUUUCCUCUGUAGGGUAUAUCUAGGAUUCUAGAUGUCUCAUUCUUAGCCAUUCUAGCAAAGAGCGUGCCAAUCAAGACGGUGAACCGGCAAUGCGCAUUUGGACUUCAAGCAGUAGCCGAUGUUGUGGCAGUAAUAAAGUCUGGUUUUUAUGAAAUUGGCAUAGCAGCUGGAGUUGAAUCCAUGUCCAUCGAUGUUGGAGCUCAUAAACCUACUUUCAAUCCUCAGUUAUGCUAAUCAUUUUAUUAAAAUUAUGUUUCUUCUCAUAGAUAAACAAGCAUUAUGAAUGCCUGAUUUACUGGAUCAAAGGAGCUCUUUAAUUUUCUUUCUUCAAGAGAUUAUGCAAAACAGUUUCAGUUUUUACCAUUACCCAUCUUCUGAUGCAUCUGAUGGGGCAAGUUCAUAUCCGUCCAAACCAAGAUGCUAAAGACUGCUUGAUUCCCAUGGGAAUCACCUCAGAGAUUGUGGCAGAGCAAUACAGAGUGUCACGCCUUGAUCAAGAUAAAGCUGCUCUUUUAUCUCAUAAAAAGGCUGCAGAAGCUGCUACUGCAAGAAAAUUCGUUGAUGAAAUUGUCCCUGUAUACAUGAAGGUUUGGACGCAAUGUUUUUUUUCUCAUUGGAAACAUGGUUACUAAACAUCCAGAUCUCCAGAAUGAAGACGAAUAUUGGGACUUU